rnacentral:rRNA from 1 species
UUGAUCCUGGCUCAGGAUGAACGCUGGCGGCGUGCCUAAUACAUGCAAGUCGAACGCGCAGCGAGAGGUGCUUGCACCUUUCAAGCGAGUGGCGAACGGGUGAGUAACACGUGGAUAACCUGCCUCAAGGCUGGGGAUAACAUUUGGAAACAGAUGCUAAUACCGAAUAAAACUUAGUAUCGCAUGAUAUCAAGUUAAAAGGCGCUACGGCGUCACCUAGAGAUGGAUCCGCGGUGCAUUAGUUAGUUGGUGGGGUAAAGGCUUACCAAGACAAUGAUGCAUAGCCGAGUUGAGAGACUGAUCGGCCACAUUGGGACUGAGACACGGCCCAAACUCCUACGGGAGGCUGCAGUAGGGAAUCUUCCACAAUGGGCGCAAGCCUGAUGGAGCAACGCCGCGUGUGUGAUGAAGGCUUUCGGGUCGUAAAGCACUGUUGUAUGGGAAGAAAUGCUAAAAUAGGGAAUGAUUUUAGUUUGACGGUACCAUACCAGAAAGGGACGGCUAAAUACGUGCCAGCAGCCGCGGUAAUACGUAUGUCCCGAGCGUUAUCCGGAUUUAUUGGGCGUAAAGCGAGCGCAGACGGUUGAUUAAGUCUGAUGUGAAAGCCCGGAGCUCAACUCCGGAAUGGCAUUGGAAACUGGUUAACUUGAGUGUUGUAGAGGUAAGUGGAACUCCAUGUGUAGCGGUGGAAUGCGUANAUAUAUGGAAGAACACCAGUGGCGAAGGCGGCUUACUGGACAACAACUGACGUUGAAGCUCNAAAGUGUGGGUAGCAAACAGGAUUAGAUACCCUGGUAGUCCACACCGUAAACGAUGAAUA